rnacentral:lncRNA from 1 species
AAAGAAUUCAAGAGGGAAAGCGACGAAUAAACAAGUGCAUUCAACGUGCAAUAGUGAUCUUUCGAAAUACCAGUGUGUGUAAAUACACAAAAAUGAUUCAUUCAUGAAGUUUGGGACGUCAUCUUUGGAUUGAGUGAAAAUAUGCUAAUACCGGUUAGAUACUGGGAAUUCUGACCUGCUGGCCUUGUUUUACCCAAGAGAUUGUAAUAAAGUCCACGUGUAACUGACUAAUGAUAAACGUUGGAGAGUAAGAGAGAAAUUGCGUUAUAAAAAAGAGAGACUUGUACCGGAGUCAGGAGGUAUGACAUAACAACCCUUACAAGAAGAUAAAGUUUACCAACGUUCGGGAUGCAACGGAGAAACUUCUCAAUCAUAACUUUUCCAAGGAAUCCUGUUCCACCAGUUAUCAAAAUAUUCUGACCUUCAAACAUAUCUGCAACUCUAUCAGGAAGCUCUUCAAUUUUUGUUGGUUCCAUCUUGAGAUUUUGAUCAGUUCAACCUGGUGCAUAAUAAUUAAAUUAUAAAAUUCAAGAGUAAUUGGCAAGCAGUCAAUAGAGAAAUUCAAAGCGAUAUUGACAUUAAAUUGAAUAGAAAAAGGAAUUAAAAAUUAUCAAUUAUACCUAUUACAUCUCAACUUGUUACUUGAUACUCAUGAUCAUUCUUCUCCAAGUAAUUAAGUUGAGUUAUUUUUAUGAAAAAUAUCAAACAUAUCUAUUUCAUGACAAGUAUUAAUUUUCAUCAAUAAUAUAACACAGUAAUAUCUAUAAUUAAAUGCAGCAACUAUUCAAGUACAUAUUUUUUAUUUACCAGUUUAAAUUUGUUUUCCCAAUUCUCAAGAUUCUUUUUUUCUUUUUUACACUUGUUAUUACUGCGCAACCAUUCAAAUAACUAAUCUUGCGCGCGGAAACUGGUUUUAAUUAAUGACGCUUGCGCAUUAAAGAUAAUACACUAAAUUGGUUGCUUCUGAGAAACCGGGAAAAAAUUUAAUUAUGGUAAUUGGAAACAUUUGAAUAUAAUUGUAAAUUAAUUAUUUAUUAGAGUUAUGCUCUUCUUUUUAAUACAAUUAAUCUUUCAUUUAUAAUCAUUAUUACAAAGUUUAACGGCUAAUUGUCAUUAUUGCAAAAUAGUUUUCGACAUUCUUCGAUACGCAUGAAAUAAGUAGAAAGGGUUUUAUUAUAAUUAUCAAUAUUUUGAUUAUUUUUUUUCAGUUUAAAGUAUACAGAAUAGAA